rnacentral:lncRNA from 1 species
AACCAAAAUCAACAAGUUUCUUUUCAGAACACAGGAGUUUAUGCAGAACACAUGGCCAGAAAAGAAUUGAGUCUCAAGACAAAUUGGAACCAGGAAUAAGAAAUGUCCUUGGGACAAAUGGACAUUAUUUUACUGAUAUCCUAGAUCUCAUCUCUGGUUCUUUCUAAGCAACAAGAACAUCUCUUUCCCUUGCAUCUCUCUUUUUCUCUUGUGUGAGCACAGGCAUGCACACACACAUACCCCCACAUAACUUUCUUUGAUAGUUAAUACUCAUGAGCCACAUGGAAAGACUGAUUCUUUUUUGAAAUCCUUUUCAGGAACUAGGGAACAGCAAAGUAAUUGAGUAAACAUAUUUGUGUUCAUUUUAAGUUGAUGCUUUCCUGUGGCUCUUUCCACUCUUCCAGGAAGUUAGCAUACCCCAACACAAAUACUAACGUAAAACUGUACUCACAGUUUACCUUUUGUUUUUCUCUGCUGUCAAAAAAUAAUUACUAUGUACUUCAUAUUAGCAAGGACAUCACUGGGUUUGUUCCUCCAAACGAAUCUUUCUCUGGAAAGAAUUUUGUAAUUCUUUCUUUUUAUUUAAAUAAGUGAUUUUUGGAAAAUGAUUUAAACACUACUUGCUCAGUUGUAAGAUGCUCAGGGGAGUAAAGUAAGUAGGAAGGAGUGAGUCAAAUUAGAAUUUUGCCACCUGAUAUGGUUUGGCUGUGUCCCCUACCCAAAUCUCAUCUUGAAUUGUAGCUCCCUUAAUUCCCACAUGUGGUGAGAGGGACGUGGUAGAAGGUAAUUGAGUCAUCGGGGAGGGUCUUUCCUGUGCUGUUCUUAUGAUAAUGAAUAAGUCUCAUGAGAUCAGAUGGUUUUAUAAGGGGGAGUUCCCCUGCACACAUCCUUUUGCCUGCUGCCAUGUAAGACAUGACUUUGUUCCUCCUUUGCCUUCCACCAUGAUUGUGAGGUCUCCCCAACUACCUAGAACUGUGGGUCCAUUAAACCUUUUUUUCCUUAUAAAUUACCCAGUCUCAAGUAUGUCUUCAUUAGCAGUAUAAGGACAGACUAAUACACAGUCUCCUCUGAAUAAUUGUGUUAAUGAAGAUAUGACAAUAAAAUUUACUGAA